ACAGGAAGUUAUAAAGGAAACAGGAAGUUCAGGGUUCUUUCUCUAAUCUGCACACAGCAAGCAGCAACAGAAAUGUAAGUUCCUGUACUGAAGUUAAGGUUUAGCAUUAGCAUGUAGCUUAGCAUUAGCAACAACUUGUAUUAGUUUAUUGUUUGAAUUUAUACAGAACUUUGGUAAUGACUAAACUUCUUGUGUCUUGUAGUUUUCACUCCUUCAAUCUGGUGAAGAAAUGAAAAGAGGAGAUCAUCUCUUUGCUCCCUUCAGAGCACUUCCUGUUGAUAAAUCCAGAGCUACAGAUUCACAGAUAUAAGAAGACCGAGGAGUUCAGAUGAAAAGAAACAAAGCUACAUGGACAGACAGGUGAUCAUUCAAAUGAUUUCGUCUGCUUGCGUUGGAUGGAUGUUUCUCGAUCUUCUCCUGAGUCCAUUUGAACUUUUGUGAUCUGUUGCUUUGGUAACCUCAGCAUCGUUAACAAAAACAGGCCAAUCAGAGUCCACAUUUUGAAGGUCUCGGUCUGGGACUAGAAGGAAAAAACAUCAAAUAACUUCAGUCCCCGGUUACGACCACAACCUUCCUGGUGUUACGCUCCAACUGUUUGUACAGGUUGCUCCUCCUCGUAUUUGCUCCGCUCGUGGCAACAAUAUUAUUUGACUUUUCUUUCACAAAGGGACGCAGCUCGGUGAAGGACCGUCUCCCCCCUGGUCGAGAGAGAGAGAGAGAGAGAGAGAGAGAGAGAGAGAGAGAGAGAGAGAGAGAGAGAGAGAGAGCGAGAGAGAGAGAGCGCGUCAGAUUACAGCAUCUGACAACAUCACCCGAGGAACAGACAUCAACAGUGGCCCCCCUGCUGCUUCUUUUGGUGUCUUGUGUUUAUGAUGGCACAUAUAUCAUCACAUAUAGACUGAACAGAGAUCAGAGCACAGAUACAGACACAGGCAGUUUGAAAGCAUCAUCAUCUACACUCCGUUAACAUUUAAAUAAAGUGUUUAGCAUUUUAAAAACCUCAUGGUUUCAGUUCAAUGUUAGAUGUUUUCAAGCACAAAUAUAAUCUGUACUUACUGCAGUUUUUCUGGAACGACUAAAAACUACUUAAAAGGGGGGUUGGUGAUUUUCUCCAGAUCCACUUUUUAAGAUUGUGGUUGAAAUUGUCUUUUGGUCCUGACAAUGCAGGCAAUGAGCUGAGGUCUGCUUCUGGGGUGGGUGCAGACAGAGCACUGAGGGAAUGCUACUUUUAGAAAAUGACCGACCCUGCCUUUAACCCAGACAAGACUCUCUCUUACCUGCUUUUUGUGUCUUCAGAUAACAUUUGGAUUGAGUUGGCGCUCUACAAAAUAAAGAUUGAUUG